GCCCUCCCAGUGUUUACCACCCCCAGCUCCUGUUGAGGAGCAAGAUGAGGAGCUGCAACCCCCCCCCAAACUCCUGGUGAAUCGGGUGAUGGAGAAAAGGAGCAGGAGGAUGAGACGGUUCCUGUGAGCCUCAGUCAGGAGGUUUUAAAAAAGAUGGAGGAAAAACACAGUCUCAUCCAGAGGACCAAUGAUAAAAUCCUCUCAAAUCGCUGUAAAAUGCGGAUCCUAGACCUCCAAAACCAACAGCUGGAGCAACAGCAGGGGAAUAAUUUUGACGCGAUGGCUGAGCUUCACAAGCUCAUGCAAAAUUACAUUUAAUUUUUUUUUUCUUUUAAUAAAAAAAUGUAUUCUUUUAAAA